rnacentral:lncRNA from 1 species
AUUUCACUGAUUGUCCCGUGUGCUUUAAUCAUUUGACUCUGUGAAUGCAGCUGUCAAUAAGACUAAGUAUACCAAGAGUACAAAGAAACUGAGAAAUUGCCUAUGUCUGCUAUCAAGGUUGAUUUCUAGACUUUCCUCUUAAUGGAUGCAACAGUUCUUUUUAUAAAUAUGGUGGGCACUCAGUCACUCCAGCAUGAGAAAUUUUUGACAAUUCGUCACAGUAAUAGCAUCAUAUUUCAAUUCAUAGUUUUUUGACUCCAGGCUCAGGAGAAAAAAGAGGAGGAAAAGCCUGUCAAAAAUGUUAACAAAACAACUGACUCUAGUAAUUUUCUGUCCCUCAUUAUCUUGUGCUGUUCUGCUGCAUUCUUGGAAUAU